AUUGAACGCUAGCGGCAGGCUUAACACAUGCAAGUCGAGCGGAGUGAUGGUGCUUGCACUAUCACUUAGCGGCGGACGGGUGAGUAAUGCUUAGGAAUCUGCCUAUUAGUGGGGGACAACAUCUCGAAAGGGAUGCUAAUACCGCAUACGUCCUACGGGAGAAAGCAGGGGAUCACUUGUGACCUUGCGCUAAUAGAUGAGCCUAAGUCGGAUUAGCUAGUUGGUGGGGUAAAGGCCUACCAAGGCGACGAUCUGUAGCGGGUCUGAGAGGAUGAUCCGCCACACUGGGACUGAGACACGGCCCAGACUCCUACGGGAUGCAGCAGUGGGGAAUAUUGGACAAUGGGGGGAACCCUGAUCCAGCCAUGCCGCGUGUGUGAAGAAGGCCUUAUGGUUGUAAAGCACUUUAAGCGAGGAGGAGGCUCUUUUGGUUAAUACCCAAGAUGAGUGGACGUUACUCGCAGAAUAAGCACCGGCUAACUCUGUGCCAGCCGCCGCGGUAA
rnacentral:rRNA from 1 species